rnacentral:rRNA from 1 species
GAUGAACGCUAGCUACAGGCUUAACACAUGCAAGUCGAGGGGAAACGACAUCGAAAGCUUGCGUUUGAGGGGCGUCGACCGACGCACGGGUGAGUAACGCGUAAGCAACCUGCCCAUCAAUUGGGAAUAACCUUGCGAAAGUAAGACUAAUAACCACUGAUAUCCCAAGAAGGCAUAGGAAUGGGAGUAAAGAUUUGUCGGUGAUGGAGGGGGAUGCGUCUGAUUAGAUUGUUGGCGGGGUAACAGCCCACCAAGGCAACCAGCAGUAGGGGGUCUGAGGGGAAGGUCCCCCACCUUGGAACUGGGACACCGUCCAAACUCCUACGUGAGGCAGCCGUGAGGAACAUUGGUCCAUGGGCGAGAGCCUGAACCAGCCAAGUAGCGUGCAGGAAGACUGACCUAUGGGUUGUCAACUGCUUUUAUGAGGGAAUAUCGUGUGUCCCGUGUGUCUUUUUGCAUGUACCUUAUGAAUAAGGACAGGCUAAUUCCGUG